UACGUAGGGGGCUAGCGUUAUCCGGAAUUACUGGGUGUAAAGGGUGCGUAGGUGGUUUCUUAAGUCAGAGGUGAAAGGCUACGGCUCAACCGUAGUAAGCCUUUGAAACUGGGGAACUUGAGUGCAGGAGAGGAGAGUGGAAUUCCUAGUGUAGCGGUGAAAUGCGUAGAUAUUAGGAGGAACCCCAGUUGCGAAGGCGGCUCUCUGGACUGUAACUGACACUGAGGCACGAAAGCGUGGGGAGCAAACAGG
rnacentral:rRNA from 1 species